GGCUGCCCCUGGAUCCCUGCAAGCGUCCAAGGCCAGCCUAAGAACAAAGCCCAUCCUUUAACCCCUGAAUAACCACACAGAGACGUCUCCUCACACACAGCCCAGAACAAAGCCUUCAAGGAAAUUACUGGACACUCUCAGCAGGUGUUCUCUGUCCCUCCAGCUUUCGGUUUCCUGCUGAAGCUGCAGCUCCGAGUUCAAGGUAGGAGCAAAUCUCUGCUUUCACUCCUGCGUUUCUGCCCUUCCAUUUCUUUUCCAACGCGAUGACUUCAGAGCAGAGAGUGUCAGAUAUGCAUGGAGCUGCCUUUAAUUGUCCCUUCGUGCUGGGGAGCCAGGAGAUAAGAGCAGAGAGCCACUCCGACCUGUGUGCAUUGGCAGCGGCCCCCUGACUCACUGGAGCAGCUUCAGUUUACACCACCGAGGAUCUGACUUGGAAUUUCAAGGCUUUCCAGUUGCUAUCAUAAAUAUCUCUUCUUUUUCUUGGCAAUGAAGCAAUCUAGAGAGUGGUUCCAAAAAAUUAAAAGAAGCUGUUGGCA